rfam:Dipodomys ordii contig_33705, whole genome shotgun sequence.
GGGAAGCUGGCUCAGUGGUAGAGUGCUUGCCUUGCAUGCAUGAGGCCCUGGGUUCGAUUCCUCAGUACCA